AGCGUACACGGUGGAUGCCCUGGCAGUCAGAGGCGAUGAAGGACGUGCUAAUCUGCGAAAAGCGUCGGUAAGGUGAUAUGAACCGUUAUAACCGGCGAUGUCCGAAUGGGGAAACCCAGUGCAAUUCGUUGCACUAUCGUUAACUGAAUACAUAGGUUAACGAGGCGAACCGGGGGAACUGAAACAUCUAAGUACCCCGAGGAAAAGAAAUCAACCGAGAUUCCCCCAGUAGCGGCGAGCGAACGGGGAGCAGCCCAGAGUCUGAAUCAGCUUGUGUGUUAGUGGAACGGUCUGGAAAGUCCGACGGUACAGGGUGAUAGUCCCGUACACCAAAAUGCACAGGUUGUGAACUCGAAGAGUAGGGCGGGACACGUGGUAUCCUGUCUGAAUAUGGGGGGACCAUCCUCCAAGGCUAAAUACUCCUGACUGACCGAUAGUGAACCAGUACCGUGAGGGAAAGGCGAAAAGAACCCCGGCGAGGGGAGUGAAAAAGAACCUGAAACCGUGUACGUACAAGCAGUGGGAGCACCUUCGGGUGUGACUGCGUACCUUUUGUAUAAUGGGUCAGCGACUUAUAUUCUGUAGCAAGGUUAACCGUAUAGGGGAGCCGCAGGGAAACCGAGUCUUAACUGGGCGUUAAGUUGCAGGGUAUAGACCCGAAACCCGGUGAUCUAGCCAUGGGCAGGUUGAAGGUUGGGUAACACUAACUGGAGGACCGAACCGACUAAUGUUGAAAAAUUAGCGGAUGACUUGUGGCUGGGGGUGAAAGGCCAAUCAAACCGGGAGAUAGCUGGUUCUCCCCGAAAGCUAUUUAGGUAGCGCCUCGUGAAUUCAUCUUCGGGGGUAGAGCACUGUUUCGGCUAGGGGGUCAUCCCGACUUACCAACCCGAUGCAAACUACGAAUACCGAAGAAUGUUAUCACGGGAGACACACGGCGGGUGCUAACGUCCGUCGUGAAGAGGGAAACAACCCAGACCGCCAGCUAAGGUCCCAAAGUCAUGGUUAAGUGGGAAACGAUGUGGGAAGGCCCAGACAGCCAGGAUGUUGGCUUAGAAGCAGCCAUCAUUUAAAGAAAGCGUAAUAGCUCACUGGUCGAGUCGGCCUGCGCGGAAGAUGUAACGGGGCUAAACCAUGCACCGAAGCUGCGGCAGCGACACUAUGUGUUGUUGGGUAGGGGAGCGUUCUGUAAGCCUGCGAAGGUGUGCUGUGAGGCAUGCUGGAGGUAUCAGAAGUGCGAAUGCUGACAUAAGUAACGAUAAAGCGGGUGAAAAGCCCGCUCGCCGGAAGACCAAGGGUUCCUGUCCAACGUUAAUCGGGGCAGGGUGAGUCGACCCCUAAGGCGAGGCCGAAAGGCGUAGUCGAUGGGAAACAGGUUAAUAUUCCUGUACUUGGUGUUACUGCGAAGGGGGGACGGAGAAGGCUAUGUUAGCCGGGCGACGGUUGUCCCGGUUUAAGCAUGUAGGCUGGUUGUCCAGGCAAAUCCGGAUAAUCAAGGCUGAGGUGUGAUGACGAGGCACUACGGUGCUGAAGUAACAAAUGCCCUGCUUCCAGGAAAAGCCUCUAAGCAUCAGGUAACAUCAAAUCGUACCCCAAACCGACACAGGUGGUCAGGUAGAGAAUACCAAGGCGCUUGAGAGAACUCGGGUGAAGGAACUAGGCAAAAUGGUGCCGUAACUUCGGGAGAAGGCACGCUGGUGUGUAGGUGAAGUCCCUGCGGAUGGAGCUGAGACCAGUCGAAGAUACCAGCUGGCUGCAACUGUUUAUUAAAAACACAGCACUGUGCAAACACGAAAGUGGACGUAUACGGUGUGACGCCUGCCCGGUGCCGGAAGGUUAAUUGAUGGGGUUAUCCGUAAGGAGAAGCUCUUGAUCGAAGCCCCGGUAAACGGCGGCCGUAACUAUAACGGUCCUAAGGUAGCGAAAUUCCUUGUCGGGUAAGUUCCGACCUGCACGAAUGGCGUAAUGAUGGCCAGGCUGUCUCCACCCGAGACUCAGUGAAAUUGAACUCGCUGUGAAGAUGCAGUGUACCCGCGGCAAGACGGAAAGACCCCGUGAACCUUUACUAUAGCUUGACACUGAACAUUGAGCCUUGAUGUGUAGGAUAGGUGGGAGGCUUUGAAGCGUGGACGCCAGUCUGCGUGGAGCCAACCUUGAAAUACCACCCUUUAAUGUUUGAUGUUCUAACGUUGGCCCCUUACCGGGGUUGCGGACAGUGUCUGGUGGGUAGUUUGACUGGGGCGGUCUCCUCCCAAAGCGUAACGGAGGAGCACGAAGGUUAGCUAAUCCUGGUCGGACAUCAGGAGGUUAGUGCAAUGGCAUAAGCUAGCUUGACUGCGAGCGUGACGGCGCGAGCAGGUGCGAAAGCAGGUCAUAGUGAUCCGGUGGUUCUGAAUGGAAGGGCCAUCGCUCAACGGAUAAAAGGUACUCCGGGGAUAACAGGCUGAUACCGCCCAAGAGUUCAUAUCGACGGCGGUGUUUGGCACCUCGAUGUCGGCUCAUCACAUCCUGGGGCUGAAGUAGGUCCCAAGGGUAUGGCUGUUCGCCAUUUAAAGUGGUACGCGAGCUGGGUUUAGAACGUCGUGAGACAGUUCGGUCCCUAUCUGCCGUGGGCGCUGGAGAAUUGAGGGGGGCUGCUCCUAGUACGAGAGGACCGGAGUGGACGCAUCACUGGUGUUCGGGUUGUCAUGCCAAUGGCACUGCCCGGUAGCUAAAUGCGGAAGAGAUAAGUGCUGAAAGCAUCUAAGCACGAAACUUGCCCCGAGAUGAGUUCU
rnacentral:rRNA from 1 species